rnacentral:rRNA from 1 species
GACGAACGCUGGCGGCGUGCCUAAUACAUGCAAGUAGAACGCAGAUGCGAACGGGUGAGUAACGCGUAGGUAAAUGCCUCAUAGCGGGGGAAAAAUAACGGAAAAGAUAGCUAAUACCGCAUACUGUGAGAUGGACCGGCGUUGUAUUAGCGAGUUGGUGAGGUAAAGGCUCACCAAGGCGACGAUACAUAGCCGACCUGAGAGGUUGAUCAGCCACACUUGGACUGAGACACGGCCCAGACUCCUACGGGAGGCAGCAGUGGGGAAUUUUGGACAAUGGGGGAAACCCUGAUCCAGCCAUCCCGCGUGUGUGAUGAAGGCCUUCGGGUUGUAAAGCACUUUUGGCAGGGAAGCGUUACCUGCAGAAUAAGCACCGGCUAACUACGUGCCAGCAGCCGCGGUAAUUC